UCACACAAAAUCCCCAAAUUGAAGAAAUAAUCCCUAGAUCGUCUCUCUCUCAUUCUCGGUUCUCGGCGUCAGAUCGGAGAUCCGAUGUCGCAGCGUAUCUCCUCGCCGUCCUCGACAAGAGCUGCAGGCGCGCCACCGUCUCGUCGCCGUCGCCGGCGCCGGCAUCUCUCUCGUCCACACUAGCCUUGGCAGCCGGCAUCCAGCGGCUGUCCCGCCGUCGCAGUCCAGCCGAGCAGCGGUGCUCCUCCAGGAGACUCGCCGUCGCGGUUGCUGCAGUGACCGCACCGCCUGUCGCCGUUUACUACUCCUCCGAUGAGAAACUCGAGUCCGUCGAUGUAUAGAGAUGAGUUCUCCUAACUUCCUUCUCGCAUUUUCGCCAGAAACAGUUGCUCUUUACAGCUUGAUUUUAUUGAAGAACAUGAGUCUUAUUCGUGUGUGGAUUUUUGGUGAUUUAUGGAUCAAUUCCUUUAAUUGGAUGUUUUCAAUCAAAAGCUACUGUAAUUUGUGAACUAUUUGAAGUUCUAAACAUGAAAGGAUAUAAGAACUGAAGUUGUUGAGCUAUGGCUACAACUACUGAUUUUAUCAUUUGAUUACUGGGCAUUUUGUUUGGAAAGAAAAUUAUUAGAAUAAAAGGUGCUAUUGUUCUAUCAAUUUAUUUCUAGUAUGCUGUGUACAUGAAGUGUUGAUUUUCUAAACAUGUUUGAUAAGAAAUUGUGGUGAAAGGGUUUACUUUGAUGCUUCCUCUGUUGUUAAAAGAAAAUCACAGCAACUUCUCCACCAAGCUUCACCCUCUCACUUGGUUUCUCUUUGGGAUUAAUUGGAAGUGGUGAAGGAAAAAAGUGUGAAACUGAAAUGAGAUAUAUGUGUUCAUAUAUAUUGGAAUCUGGUUGGGGAUGUGGUCAAAACUGAAAAUCUGCAGCCUCUUGUCUUUUGUUGAGGAGUUGAUGGCUGUUAUUUGUAGUACAUGGUGUGUUCUCGUGGUAUUAAAAGAGGCUGAUCUCCUCUUUUGUUUUUCUCACUGCAGCAAGAUCUCUUUGAUGAUCUCCAUCCUACUUUUGUUUAAUUUGUUUUGUUUUUAGUCUGGAGUAAAAGCACUCUUGCAUUUAUACACUUUGUCUGAUUAUUGUAGGUACAUAAGAGAGAGACGGCUCAUGGGAAGAGAGUGUAGGGGCUGACUUGCCCUUUUUAGGGAGGCUCUAGCUGCAUUAUAGCUAAAACAAGCCUUGGAAAAAGGAUUGGGCUGCCGAGCGGGCCUUCCGAGGCAUGGGCCUGCCCCUGGCCCAUCGGGCUGCUUCUUCAAAACAUCAGGCCAAAGACUCUUGGGCUCGAAAGAGAGGCCCAACAUUCACAUAUUUGUAUUCUUAAAUUCUCUCUCAUCAACUUGUGCGUAAUUUAUUUUGUAACUAGAGAGUAGCUUGAUAUGUAUUUGAACAUUCUAAAUCAGAAAUGUAACCCCAUAUUAUUUAUUGA